UACAGAGGUCUCAAGCGUUGUUCGGAUUCAUUGGGCGUAAAGGGUGCGUAGGCGGCGCGGUAAGUCGGGUGUGAAAUCUCGGAGCUUAACUCCGAAACUGCAUUCGAUACUGCCGUGCUUGAGGACUGGAGAGGAGACUGGAAUUUACGGUGUAGCGGUGAAAUGCGUAGAUAUCGUAAGGAAGACCAGUGGCGAAGGCGGCCUGCUGGGACAUGGCUGACGCUGAGGCGCGACAGCGUGGGGAGCAAACAGG
rnacentral:rRNA from 1 species